AUUGAACGCUGGCGGCAUGCCUUACACAUGCAAGUCGAACGGCAGCAUGGGAGCAAUCCUGGUGGCGAGUGGCGAACGGGUGAGUAAUAUAUCGGAACGUGCCCAGUCGUGGGGGAUAACGUAGCGAAAGCUACGCUAAUACCGCAUACGAUCUAUGGAUGAAAGCGGGGGAUCGCAAGACCUCGCGCGAUUGGAGCGGCCGAUAUCAGAUUAGGUAGUUGGUGAGGUAAAGGACGUCACCAAGCCGACGAUCUGUAGCUGGUCUGAGAGGAC
rnacentral:rRNA from 1 species